AAUCCAUAGUGCAGGCAUUUCUGGAUCAAUGUUUUAAAAUGUUCCCAAGCGUCAUGAAAACUUUCCCCUUCUAACUGUCUAAAUACAACAAUUUCUCUUCUUAGUUG
rnacentral:snoRNA from 1 species